UGGGGAAUUUUGGACAAUGGGCGAAAGCCUGAUCCAGCAAUGCCGCGUGUGUGAAGAAGGCCUUCGGGUUGUAAAGCACUUUUGUCCGGAAAGAAAUCCUCUGGGUUAAUACCUCGGGGGGAUGACGGUACCGGAAGAAUAAGCACCGGCUAACUACGUGCCAGCAGCCGCGGUAAUACGUAGGAUGCAAGCGUUAAUCGGAAUUACUGGGCGUAAAGCGUGCGCAGGCGGUUUUGUAAGACGGAUGUGAAAUCCCCGGGCUUAACCUGGGAACUGCAUUCGUGACUGCAAGGCUAGAGUAUGGCANAGGGGGGUAGAAUUCCACGUGUAGCAGUGAAAUGCGUAGAGAUGUGGAGGAAUACCGAUGGCGAAGGCAGCCCCCUGGGCCAAAUACUGACGCUCAUGCACGAAAAGCGUGGGGAGCAAAACAGGAUUAGAUACCCUGGUAGUCCACGCCCUAAACGAUGUCAACUAGUUGUUGGGGAUUCAUUUCCUUAGUAACGUAGCUAACGCGUGAAGUUGACCGCCUGGGGAGUACGGUCGCAAAGAUUAAAACUUAAAGGAAUUGACGGGGUCAUAGCUGUUUCCU
rnacentral:rRNA from 1 species